GAUGGACGCUAGCUACAGGCUUAACACAUGCAAGUCGAGGGGUAACGAGAGGGAAGCUUGCUUUCCUUGUCGACGACCGGCGCACGGGUGAGUAACGCGUAUCCAACCUGCCCCCAACUAGGGAAUAACCUUGCGAAAGUAAGACUAAUACCCUAUAAUUUCCUCUGAUGUCAUCUGACGAGGACUCAAGAUUUCUCGGUUGUGGAUGGGUAUGCGUCUGAUUAGAUUGUUGGCGGGGUAACGGCCCACCAAGGCAACGAUCAGUAGGGGUUCUGAGGGGAAGGUCCCCCACAUUGGAACUGAGACACGGUCCAUACGCCUACGGGCGGCAACAGUGAGGAUUAUUGGUCAAUGGGCGGAAGCCUGAACCAGCCAAGUAGCGUGCAGGAUGACGGCACUAUGGGUUGUAAACUGCUUUUAUACAGGAAUAAAGUUAGCCACGUGUGGUUAUUUGUAGGUACUGUAUGAAUAAGGACCGGCUAAUUCCGUGCCAGCCGCCGCCGUAA
rnacentral:rRNA from 1 species